AAAUAAAACUCAAUUAAAUAACUUGACCCACAAGACGACCCAUGGGCGACCCAUAUAACCCAUGUCAGUAAAUAUAAAAUUACCAAAAUACCCUAACCUAUAAAAUCCUAAAAAACAUAAAAAUAAUAACAAAUUAAGAUUCUAAGAAUACUAGAAACAUAAUUAUAGAAGAUAUCUAUCAGUUUAUCUAUGAAAUCCUGCCAAUGUCCAAGUAUCAUCACUUUUCUGAAUUUAGCAUUCUUUGAGCUUCUUGUACUCUGGCAUCAGAUGUGGUUGCUUGUGUGCGCACAACUAGGACAGUGGUCAUUAGCUUUUACAGUUCUGCUUCCAUGUCAUGAAGUUGCAUGUUUCUUGGGUUUGUUUAUAAGUUUUAUUUAUUUUUUUACCAAACCCAGGUAGUUUUUAAAUAAAAUUCCCGAACACUCUACCUUGUGAAAGCAUAUCUUAAACGUGUGACUCUGCCCUUCCAUCCCUUGGAUAGAUAGAGAGGGAAGGCAGAGCUUUUGGUUUUUUCAUGUUGUCAAAGAGUUGAACAAUGGUUUUUUCAAGAUUGAAGUUUGAAUCGGAAAAAAAAGAGUCUCUUAACGAAAAACAAACAGUUUUUGAUCGGUACCUGCAAAAGCGUGAUGUGGCUUAAAAGUCCCGCUAUUGGCUUUCUCGGACUUUGUUAUGCUUCAGCCUCUUCUUUAGAUUUGGAAAUUCUCUUUCUAGCCAACCUCCCUGGAUCUUAGGAUUCGGGGUAAGAAGGUGAUUCUCACUGGGUUUCCGAACCAUUCUAAGAAAGGCAUUUGCUUGCUGAUGCAGUUGAUUCUGCCUCUGCUAAUGCUUUUGUCUCAGCGGAUUCUUCCCAUUAAGCAGAUGGCACUUGGAACCGACCGAGGUCCUUUCCUUCCCUGUAAUGAUUGCAGCACGAUGCCAAUUCCGCCUCAGAGCCAGAAUCUAGUGUUGGUUCCUUACCGCUACAGAAGAGCUGAAUUGCGCAGGGACGAAGGCCCUUAUGCCAGAGUCCAUGGUAUUUGUAUCUUUUUUAUAGUUGAGGGGGGACAAGCCUGCUAGUUCUUCCUAUUUGACCUGAAACCGAUCGAUCUAGCCAUGAGCAGGUUGAAGAGAGCUCUAACAGGCCUUGGAGGACCGAACCCAUGUAUGCGAAAAAAUACGGGGAUGAAGCUAAAACCUACUCCCAACAAGUUGCUGGAUCGAAGUAGGACAUUCUCCAUAUGCCGCCCGCCAGCUGCAGAGGGGGUUCAAUUCCCGUUGUACGCAAUGUGGCGAAAAAAACUGAUUCAACGAGAUAUGCCUUGCCUGCAUUAAGAUUUAAAUGUUAGUUCACCAAGACAAAAUCACAAGUUGCUGGAACAAAAAAAUGAAAAAUAAAAAUUGCAAGUUCAACUUGUGAUUUCACUAAACAGAACAUUGGAAGUUAAACCUAAGACUUCAUUGAAGUAUCAAAUCGGUGAGAUGUUCACUCUAGAUGAAAUUGUAGGCUGAUAGUGCGAUUUCAACCCAGGUUUGUGAUUUCACGCAGUACCUAGAUUUGAGAAAUGCGUUGAAAACUACUUGGGUUUGGAAAAAUUGUUUGAAAACUACUCGCUUCUGGUAAAAACCUGCUGUUUCUUUCACUACAAUCAGCGUUUUAGUUUUUAUCCACCUGAGCAACAGUUAAUUUCUUUUGUACAUGCAUAUCGGAUUGUGAUGGAAGAAACUCUAACUCUAAUGCUAUUUCAGUGGAAUUGAUCGAUUUAAGCAACAAUUUACCAAUCUCGAGGAGCACUAUGGUAAAGGAGAAAGAAGCACUCCUCUUCGAAGACAAUAUACCUCUUUGCCUAGAGAGCGGGUCUGUGCACCCAAAGAUGAGUCUUCUGAUGAAGACAGCGAGUUUGAAAAGCGUGCUACAGACUAUAUUGCUCGUACAUCCUUUCAAAGCCCCACAAGAUCACGGAGGAGCAACAAACCUGAAAAUGCUGAAAAGGCUGUAGUAGCUAUGCAGAAUGGCCCUAAAAAACAAAAUUAUAGUGGUCGUGACCUGUUCUAGCAUUAGUGCUUCCAAAUGUUUCGGCUUAAAAGGGAGAGACUUUGAGGUAAGUAAUUGGUGAUUUAAAGAACUGAAACACUUUCAUUCUUAUCUGCAUCUAUAAUGUACUGCAGGAAACAGUUACAGAGCAAAAUGGAAACGUGGUAAGUGGAUAGUCAGAGAACUGGGCGGCAUUGCAUGCUCUAUAGUAUACUACAGUUGGGUGAACUAUGGAUGGCUGCUACUUUUUUUUCUUCUUCUUCGUCUUUUAUUAUUAUUAUUAUUAUUAUUAUUAUUAUUAUUAUUAUUAUAUAGGAAAAAUUGGAUAUGUAGUGUAGACAUUGUUGUAUUAAUUCUGUGUUUCAACAUUUACAUUUUUGUUUCAUACUGAAUUUGUAGCUACUAUUAUGAUUUGGUUUCAAGUCCUUAGAUCUGUUGACUUCCUAGUGCUUUUAUGCAACAGUUUCACAAUGAAUCAUGAUGAAGCAAGAGGUUUAUUUUAGUUUGUUGUCA